rnacentral:rRNA from 1 species
ACACUGGAACUGAGACACGGUCCAGACUCCUACGGGAGGCAGCAGUGGGGAAUAUUGCACAAUGGGCGCAAGCCUGAUGCAGCCAUGCCGCGUGUGUGAAGAAGGCCUUCGGGUUGUAAAGCACUUUCAGCGGGGAGGAAGGCGUUAAGGUUAAUAACCUUGGCGAUUGACGUUACCCGCAGAAGAAGCACCGGCUAACUCCGUGCCAGCAGCCGCGGUAAUACGGAGGGUGCAAGCGUUAAUCGGAAUUACUGGGCGUAAAGCGCACGCAGGCGGUCUGUCAAGUCGGAUGUGAAAUCCCCGGGCUCAACC